GGUGGGUUGGCUCAGUGGUUAGAGAUUAGAUCGUAACCGAAAGGUCGCGGGAUCGAAUCCCGCUAGAGGCUG
rnacentral:tRNA from 1 species